rnacentral:lncRNA from 1 species
UCCAUACCCAGAGAUGCGGGGAAAGAAAAUAGGAUGUUCCUAAGAAAAGCCUGAGGGUUGAUUCAUUGUCUUUUGGUUACCCGCCUCCUCCCCCUGCUGCGGUCAGGUACGUGUAUACUUACUUGAA